UACGUAGGGGGCUAGCGUUGUCCGGAAUCAUUGGCGUAAAGCGCGUGUAGGCGGUCCGGUAAGUCCGCUGUGAAAGUCAGGGGCUCAACCCUCGAUGCCGGUGGAUACUGUCGGAGCUUAGUGCGGAAGAGGCGAGUGGAAUUCCUGGUGUAGCGGUGAAAUGCGCAGAUAUCAGGAGGAACACCAUGCGAAGGCAGCUCGCUGGGACGUACUGACGCUGAGACGACGAACGUGGGGAGCAAACAGG
rnacentral:rRNA from 1 species